GUGGUGGUGCAGGGGCUGGCCGUGGCGGUGGCCUCGCUGCGGCUGCGGCACGCGCUGUGGCGGGCCGUGUUCAACCUCGGCCAGUACGC
rnacentral:tRNA from 1 species